rnacentral:rRNA from 1 species
AUUGACCUCGAAUCAGGUAGGGAUACCCGCUGAACUUAAGCAUAUCAAUAAGCGGAGGAAAAGAAACCAACAGGGAUUGCCUCAGUAACGGCGAGUGAAGCGGCAGCAGCUCAAAUUUGAAAUCCAGCCCCCGAAUGGAGGCUCGAGUUGUAAUUUGCAGAGGAUGUUUCGGGGGGGGGGGGCCGGUCGAAGUCCUUUGGAACAGGGCGUCGCAGAGGGUGAGAACCCCGUACGCGGCCAGCCACCCAUCCCCCCCGGGUGAAACUCCUUCGACGAGUCGAGUUGUUUGGGAAUGCAGCUCAAAAUGGGUGGUAAAUUUCAUCUAAGGCUAAAUACCGGCCAGAGACCGAUAGCGCACAAGUAGAGUGAUCGAAAGAUGAAAAGCACUUUGGAAAGAGGGUCAAACAGUACGUGAAAUUGUUGAAAGGGAAGCGCUUGCGAUCAGAUCGUGCCCGCGCGCGCUCAGCGGCGGUUUCCCGCCGUGCACUCGCGCGCGGUUAGGCCAGCAUCAGUUCUGGCGGCCGGAUAAAGGCCCGAGGAAGGUAGCUCCCUCCGGGGAGUGUUAUAGCUUGGGGUGGCAUGCGGUUGGCCGGGACUGAGGACUGCGCUCCGGCAAGGAUGCUGGCGUAAUGGUUGCAAGCGGCCCGUCUUGAAACACGGACCAAGGAGUCUAACAUCUAUGCAAGUGUUUGGGCGUGAAACCCAUGCGCGCAAUGAAAGUGAACGGAGGUCGGAGUCCCCAAGGAUGCACGAUCGACCGAUCCGGAAGUUUACGGAUGGAUUUGAGUAGGAGCAUAGCUGUUGGGACCCGAAAGAUGGUGAACUAUGCCUGAAUAGGGUGAAGCCAGAGGAAACUCUGGUGGAGGCUCGCAGCGGUUCUGACGUGCAAAUCGAUCGUCAAAUUUGGGUAUAGGGGCGAAAGACUAAUCGAACCAUUUAGUAGCUGGUUCCUGCCGAAGUUUCCCUCAGGAUAGCAGUAACGUUUUCAGUUUUAUGAGGUAAAGCGAAUGAUUAGG